UACGUAGGGGGCAAGCGUUGUCCGGAUUUAUUGGGCGUAAAGAGCGUGUAGGCGGCCUUACAGGUCAGCUGUGAAAACUCGAGGCUCAACCUCGAGACGUCGGUUGAAACCGUAUGGCUAGAGUCCGGAAGAGGAGAGUGGAAUUCCUGGUGUAGCGUUGAAAUGCGCAGAUAUCAGGAAGAACACCCGUGGCGAAGGCGGCUCUCUGGGACGGUACUGACGCUGAGACGCGAAAGCGUGGGGAGCGAACAGG
rnacentral:rRNA from 1 species